rnacentral:rRNA from 1 species
AUUGAACGCUGGCGGCAUGCUUUACACAUGCAAGUCGAACGGUAACAGGUUAAGCUGACGAGUGGCGAACGGGUGAGUAAUGCAUCGGAACGUGCCCGAUCGUGGGGGAUAACGCAGCGAAAGCUGCGCUAAUACCGCAUACGAUCUGAGGAUGAAAGCGGGGGACCGUAAGGCCUCGCGCGAUCGGAGCGGCCGAUGUCAGAUUAGGUAGUUGGUGGGGUAAAGGCCCACCAAGCCGACGAUCUGUAGCUGGUCUGAGAGGACGACCAGCCACACUGGGACUGAGACACGGCCCAGACUCCUACGGGAGGCAGCAGUGGGGAAUUUUGGACAAUGGGCGAAAGCCUGAUCCGGCAAUGCCGCGUGCAGGAAGAAGGCCUUCGGGUUGUAAACUGCUUUUGUACGGAGCGAAAAGGUCCUUUCUAAUACAAGGGGCUCAUGACGGUACCGUAAGAAUAAGCACCGGCUAACCACGUGCCAGCAGCCGCGGUAA